rnacentral:rRNA from 1 species
UAACACGGGGGGAGCAAGCGUUGUUCGGAAUCACUGGGCGUAAAGGGCGUGUAGGCGGUCAAGUAAGUGGAAUGUGAAAUGCCCCGGCUCACCCGGGGACCUGCAUCCCAAACUGCUUGGCUUGAGUAUGGGAGAGGAUGAGGGAAUUCCUGGUGUAGCGGUGAAAUGCGUAGAUAUCAGGAGGAACACCGGUGGCGAAGGCGCUCAUCUGGCCCAAUACUGACGCUGAGGCGCGAAAGCUAGGGGAGCAAACGGGAUUAGAUACCCCGGUAGUCCUAGCCGUAAACGGUGAUCACUAGGUGUUGGAGGCAUCGACCCCUCCAGUGCCGCAGCUAACGCAUUAAGUGAUCCGCCUGGGGAGUACGGCCGCAAGGUUG